CCCCCGCUCCUCCUCCCUGAGCGGGGAGUCCCGGGCACAUCCCGGGACGCGUUAAGCCCCGGACGCUUUCCCCUUGUCUCCGGGGCUUUUUUUAU
rnacentral:ncRNA from 1 species